rnacentral:lncRNA from 1 species
CUCUUUUCUAUUAUUGAUCAACACAUUUUCCACUGUUAAACAGUCCUUUAAAGGGAAACAGGGGAGUUUGCAAAAUAGAUUAAAUAUAAAAGUUAUUAAAUGUGAAAAAGGAUUUAGCAAAUUUUAUAUCUACAUUAAGACAGAGGGGCAGAUACAGAUGUCUAAAAGCUGAAUGAACUGAAAUAAUUCAGCAAGAGCAGAGAAAAGGAGUGAUGUCACUAUGAGGAAGUGAGCAGGAAGUUGAUGCUGUGUUCAUCUCUGAGACUGUCUCAUUUGUGAACGUGAGAGCAAGAACAGAGACUGAGAGAGACAGAGAAGCACGAUGGCUGCAUUCACAUGGAUUCAAAUGUCUUCAUUACUGAUACUGAUGCUUCAGUUUAAAGGAACAACUGAGCAACAUCAAACUGUUCAAACUGUCACAGCUGGACGUGGACAUGAUGUUACUCUGCCUUGUAAAAAUGUGAUACAAGGUCAGCAUAACUGUAUCAGUACUACCUGGAUCUUCAGUGAUUCAAGCAGCUCAGUAGAACUCUUUGAACUUGGGCAGAAUAAAGAAGUCAAACCUGAAUCAGACAGACUGAGUCUUUCUGCAGACUGUUCUCUGGUUAUAAAGAAGGUCACAGAUCAGGAUGUUGGUCGUUACACCUGCAGACAGUUCAAAACAGCAACAGGAUCACAAGAAGGUCCAGACUUUAUGAUUCAUCUGUCUGUUAUUAACAAGCCGGUAACAACAAAAUCAACAACAGUGAAGUCCACCAAAAAAACAUCAUCGACAACAAAAUCCACAACAUCAACAAUUAAACCACCUGUGAAAAUAAACACAUUGACAACAAAAGAGGAAGUAAAGACAUCGCUGACAACAACAUCAAAUCAACCAGACGAUGUGAAAACAACUAAAUCAACAACAGUGAAGUUCACCACAAAAACAUCAUCGACAACAAAAUCCACAACAUCAACAAUUAAACCAACCGUGAAAAGAAACACAAGGACAACAAGAGAGGAAUUAAAGACAUCAGCAGGGACACUGACAACAGCAUCAAAUAAUCCAUCUGGAGUUCAUUCAGGGUUUAUCAUUGUUCCUGUGGGUUUAGCAGCUCUCUUAAUAACUGUUGUGAUGAUCAUCAGAUGGAAGAAAACUAAAGAAAAAAAAACACAAUGUGGCAACAACACGGGACUGAGCUUAAACCCUGCAGACACUGAAUCUGGUCCAGGAACCAAUCAGGACACGAUGUGGACUGAUGCUGAUGAUGGUGUGUCAUAUGCCUCCAUCAGCUUCACCAAGAAGAUCAAGAAUAAAGCCCGGGCUGGUGAUGAUGAUGAUGAUGACACUGUGACUUACAGCACAGUGACAGCUGCCUCACCUGCUGGUGUUCCCAAUGAUCCCAGUGACCUCUAUUCCGCAAUCAGCAAACCAAAGAAAUAGGAUGUUACUCAUAAAAUGUUUCCUAUUGUUUUUCUGAUGCUGCAUCAAUGUUUGGACUAACUUCAUAGUAACUUGGAGUAACUUCCUUUUUGUUCUUUUUAAAGUAAAUUUGUAAUUUUGUAUGAUUUAAUGUUGAGUGUAAUCCAAAGGUAUGUAGACCAUGGAUCAAGCAGUGGUGUGCAUGAGUGUGAAUUGAGUCAGAAUUAGCUACUGCAGUAAGUCCAAAGAAAUGUUUUUUUUAAUAUAUCAUAAGAAUUAUUGGCUGAAGCACAUUAAUAUAUCUAAAUAUUCAUCUUUUAUUUGAUGUCUUCACAAAAAACUUUAAGUGAACUACUUAACCUCAGUUAAUACAUCAUGUAACUCCUUAGUUACUGAAGAAAUCUUUAAAACAUGUAACUGACUGUAUAUUUGUACUGAGGUAACAAUCGUUAUGCUUCACGAUUGGCCUGGAAAUGAAGAAGACUUCGUUGUUACUGUCAUCUAGUGACAUUUACCUGUAUAUUAAGUGACACACUGCACAAUAACUUUUUUUUGUUUAAUUUGGUGCAUGACAUUUUUAACAAUACAAAAAAGGAGCGGUGUAUCUCACUGUGUCUAUGAUGAUAUCAAACUUCCUGUUUGUGACAUUCAAAAAACAUAUUUGACAGAAAAAACACUCAAUUUCAACUUUCACACUUUAAAAACAAAAGAAAUAAAGAAUACAAGUGAUGACAACAUGUCUGAUUGUGCACGCUUAGUUUUAAAGAUUAGUGUGA